CCUACGGGAGGCAGCAGUGGGGAAUAUUGGGCAAUGGGCGCAAGCCUGACCCAGCAACGCCGCGUGAAGGAAGAAGGCCCUCGGGUUGUAAACUUCUUUUAUUCGGGACGAAACACAUUACGGUACCGAAUUACUGCGCCACGGCUAACUACGUGCCAGCAUCCGCGGUAAUACGUAGGUGGCAAGCGUUAUCCGGAUUUACUGGGUGUAAUGGGCGUGUAGGCGGGAGAGCAAGUCAGACGUGAAAUUCCAGGGCUCAACCCUGGAACUGCGUUUGAAACUGUUCUUCUUGAGUGAUGGAGAGGGAGGCGGAAUUCCGUGUGUAGCGGGGAAAUGCGUAGAUAUACGGAGGAACACCAGUGGCGAAGGCGGCCGGCUGGACAGUAACUGACGCUGAGGCGCGAAAGCGUGGGGAGCAAACAGGAUUAGAUACCCUUGUAGUC
rnacentral:rRNA from 1 species